AGUCCCUCUAGUGCCCAAAUUAAUCUCUGUUGUUUCUGCUGCUCCUCUGAACUUGGCACCCUUCUGAUGCAUCCUCUGCCUGCAGAGAGCACAGGCAGACUGUAUGGCCGGUUAAGUAAAGCAAGUGGAGAGCUUGAGGUUGCAGAUCUAUAAAUCUAAAAGAGCAGCUUUGUUUGCCCACUACCCAUUUCUGUGACCAGAUCUGACAGUAGGGAACUUCAGAGUCAGGAGGAGCUCAUCAGCUCACAA